UACGUAGGGUGCGAGCGUUAAUCGGAAUUACUGGGCGUAAAGUGUGCGCAGGCGGCCGCGCAAGUCGAGUGUGAAAGCCCCGAGCUUAACUUGGGAAUUGCGCUCGAAACUACGUGGCUGGAGUGUGGCAGAGGGAGGUGGAAUUCCACGUGUAGCAGUGAAAUGCGUAGAGAUGUGGAGGAACACCGAUGGCGAAGGCAGCCUCCUGGGCCAGCACUGACGCUCAUGCACGAAAGCGUGGGGAGCAAACAGG
rnacentral:rRNA from 1 species